GUGAGGAAUAUUGCGCAAUGGAGGCAACUCUGACGCAGCCAUGCCGCGUGCAGGAAGAAGGCGCUACGCGUUGUAAACUGCUUUUAACCGGGAAGAAACCCCAGGACGUGUCCUGGGUUGACGGUACCGGAGGAAUAAGCACCGGCUAACUUCGUGCCAGCAGCCGCGGUAAUACGAAGGGUGCAAGCGUUAUCCGGAUUCAUUGGGUUUAAAGGGUGCGUAGGCGGAGCGUUAAGUCAUUGGUGAAAUCCUGCAGCUUAACUGUAGACUUGCCAUUGAUACUGGCGCUCUUGAGUGCGCUUGAAGUGGGCGGAAUGUGCCGUGUAGCGGUGAAAUGCUUAGAUAUGGCACAGAACACCAAUUGCGAAGGCAGCUCACUAAGGCGAUACUGACGCUGAGGCACGAAAGCGUGGGGAUCGAACAGGAUUAGAUACCCCAGUAGUCC
rnacentral:rRNA from 1 species